rnacentral:rRNA from 1 species
AAAUAGAUACCCGGGUAGUCCUAGCCGUAAACGAUGAACACUAGGCGUAGUCGGUAUCGACCCCGGCUGUGCCGUAGCUAACGCAUUAAGUGUUCCGCCUGGGGAGUACGGCCGCAAGGCUAAAACUACAAAGGAAUUGACGGGGGGCCCGGCACAAGCAGCGGAGCGUGUGGUUUAAUUCGUCGCAACGCGAAGAACCUUACCAGGGCUUGACAUGUGGCGGAAAACGGCGGAAACCGUCGUCCUCCCGCAAGGGACCGUCAUGCAGGUGUUGCAUGGCUGUCGUCAGCUCGUGUCGUGAGAUGUUGGGUUAAGUCCCGCAACGAGCGCAACCCCCGUGGCAUGUUGUAUCUCUCAUGCCAGACUGCCGAGAGAAACUCGGAGGAAGGUGGGGAUGACGCCAAGUCAGCAUGGCCCUUACGUCCUGGGCUACACACACGCUACAAUGGCCGGUACAACGGGUUGCCGAAACCGCGAGGUGGAGCUAAUCCCUUAAAGCCGGUCUCAGUUCGGAUUGCAGGCUGCAACUCGCCUGCAUGAAGCCGGU